AUACUUACCUGGUAGGAGAGAUACCAUGAUCACGAAGGUGGUUUUUUUCUCAGGGUGAGGUUUAUCCAUUGCAUUCCAGAUGUACUGAUCCCUGCGAUUUCCUCAAAUGUGGGAAACUCGACUGCAUAAUUUGUGGUAGUGGGGGACUGUAUUCGCGCUUUCCCCUG
ensembl:snRNA U1 U1 spliceosomal RNA